GACGAACGCUGGCGGCGUGCUUAACACAUGCAAGUCGAACGGAAAGGCCCUGCUUGCAGGGUACUCGAGUGGCGAACGGGUGAGUAACACGUGGGUGAUCUGCCCUGCACUUCGGGAUAAGCCUGGGAAACUGGGUCUAAUACCGGAUAGGAGCCAUUUUUAGUGUGAUGGUUGGAAAGUUUUUUCGGUGUAGGAUGAGCUCGCGGCCUAUCAGCUUGUUGGUGGGGUAAUGGCCUACCAAGGCGGCGACGGGUAGCCGGCCUGAGAGGGUGGACGGCCACAUUGGGACUGAGAUACGGCCCAGACUCCUACGGGAGGCAGCAGCGGGGAAUAUUGCACAAUGGGCGCAAGCCUGAUGCAGCGACGCCGCGUGGGGGAUGACGGCCUUCGGGUUGUAAACUCCUUUCGCCAGGGACGAAGCUUUUUGUGACGGUACCUAGAUAAGAAGCACCGGCUAACUACGUG
rnacentral:rRNA from 1 species